GAAAUGCGAUACUUGGUGUGAAUUGCAGAAUUCAGUGAAUCAUCGAAUCUUUGAACGCACAUUGCGCCCCUUGGUAUUCCGAGGGGCAUGCCCGUUCGAGCGUCAUUAUAACCCCUCAAACCUGCAUGACCACCAGGAGUGUAUACGUACACUCCUGGUCAUACGGACGUCGGGCCGUGACUUUCGAUCUCAAAUCAGGCAAGGCUACCCGCUGAACUUAA
rnacentral:misc_RNA from 1 species